UUAUUUUAGCGGCGGACGGGUGAGUAACGUGUGGGUAACCUGCCUUUUACUGGGGAAUAAUCGUUGGAAACGACGACUAAUACCGCAUACGGGUUCUUGGAAGGCAUCUUCUAAGAAAGAAAGGAUUUAUUCGGUAAAAGAUGGGCCCGCAUCUGAUUAGCUAGUUGGUGAGAUAAUAGCCCACCAAGGCAACGAUCAGUAGCCGACCUGAGAGGGUGACCGGCCACAUUGGGACUGAGACACGGCCCAAACUCCUACGGAAGGCAGCAG
rnacentral:rRNA from 1 species